UACGUAGGGGGCAAGCGUUGUCCGGAAUUAUUGGGCGUAAAGAGCGCGUAGGCGGUCCGAUAAGUCGGCUGUGAAAGUCAGGGGCUCAACCCCUGAAUGCCGGCCGAUACUGUCGGGCUAGAGUCCGGAAGAGGCGAGUGGAAUUCCCAGUGUAGCGGUGAAAUGCGUAGAUAUUGGGAGGAACACCGGUGGCGAAGGCGGCUCACUGGACCGGUACUGACGCUGAGACGCGAAAGCCAGGGGAGCAAACGGG
rnacentral:rRNA from 1 species